AUUGAACGCUGGCGGCAGGCUUAACACAUGCAAGUCGAGCGGAGAGAGGUAGCUUGCUACUGAUCUUAGCGGCGGACGGGUGAGUAAUGCUUAGGAAUCUGCCUAUUAGCGGGGGACAACAUUUCGAAAGGAAUGCUAAUACCGCAUACGUCCUACGGGAGAAAGCAGGGGAUCUUCGGACCUUGCGCUAAUAGAUGAGCCUAAGUCGGAUUAGCUAGUGGGUGGGGUAAAGGCCUACCAAGGCGGCGAUCUGUAGCGGGUCUGAGAGGAUGAUCCGCCACGCAGCGGCUGAGACCCGGCCCAGACUCCUACGGGAGGCAGCAGUGGGGUAUAUUGGACAAUGGGCGGAAGCCUGAUCCAGCCAUGCCGCGUGUGUGAAGAAGGCCUUAUGGUUGUAGAGCACUUUAAGCGAGGAGGAGGCUACUUUAGUUAAUACCUAGAGAUAGUGGACGUUACUCGCAGAAUAAGCACCGGCUAACUCUGUGCCAGCAGCCGCCGCCGUAA
rnacentral:rRNA from 1 species